UACGAAGGGUGCAAGCGUUACUCGGAAUUACUGGGCGUAAAGGGUGCGUAGGUGGUUUGUUAAGUCUGCUGUGAAAUCCCCGGGCUCAACCUGGGAAUGGCAGUGGAUACUGGCAAGCUAGAGUGCGGUAGAGGGUAGUGGAAUUCCCGGUGUAGCAGUGAAAUGCGUAGAGAUCGGGAGGAACACCAGUGGCAAAGGCGGCUACCUGGACCAGCACUGACACUGAAGCACGAAAGCGUGGGGAGCAAACAGG
rnacentral:rRNA from 1 species